rnacentral:misc_RNA from 2 species
AACGCAUCUUGCGCUCCGGGGUAUUCCUCGGAGCAUGCCUGUUUGAGUGUCGUGGAAAUCUCAACCCCGCCGGGUUUUUUAUUCGGUAGAUGGGCUUUGGAUCGUGACUGUUUGCUGGCCUUGUAAUGAGACCCAGCUCGGUCGAAAUACAAGAGUGGCUGAUUCCCAAUCCGGCCUGACUCGGCGUGAUAAUCACACUUCGCCGAUUACGGAUGGGGUGAUAAAGGCUGCUUCCAAGAUAUAUUACUUUUGAACUAGACCUCAAAUCAGGUAGGACUACCCGCUGAACUUAA